rnacentral:rRNA from 1 species
GACGUAGGGUCCAAGCGUUGUCCGGAUUUACUGGGCGUAAAGAGCGCGUAGGCGGUCUGUUAAGUGUAGAGUGAAAGCUCCGGGCUCAACCCGGAAAUUGCUCUGCAUACUGGCAGACUUGAGGAUGGAAGAGGUUUGUGGAAUUCCUGGUGUAGCGGUGAAAUGCGUAGAUAUCGGAAGGAACACCAGUGGCGAAAGCGGCUUCCUGGUCCAGCACCGACGUCAGGCACGAAAGCGUGGGGAGCAAACAGG